CUUGGGGGGUGCGUGGGUGGGGUGGCAAGAAGUUAAUGUUACUCAGUAGCCAGCAAGCAAUGGGGAUAAAGACCCAUAUUGUGCCUCUCUGAUCCCAAGGCUAUCCCCCUCCCCCGUUCCAUUCUUUGGUUUACUCAGUAGAGCUACCCUGAUUCACAUAAGCUAACAAUCUGUUUGAGAAGAAACAAUUAGGCCCAUAGAAGUUGUUGACAUCUUAUUUUCAUUUUUUUCAAUGGCAUAAUGGGUGCUCCAGUCCAGCUUGUCCUUUUGUGUUCUCCAUCCCAGGCAUUCCUCCCAGAUGCAGAGUCCCUGUGAGGCUGGGGACAGAACAGUGGCUCUCCCAAACAUUUUGGACCAGGAGACUGCUAGUGACACUUAGCAUUUCUCACAGAACAUGAUGUGGCUGCUGAGCAGGCUAGUAAUUGAAAACACUGCUGAAACCAGGCAGGCUCCCCAGGCCAGCUGCGGGCCACUUCCCGUGCCUUCAGAGCCGGCAUUUGCUGGGACCAGCUGUAGGGGCUGGGGAGGAUGGAGUGUGGUUGCAGGAGGCUACAAGAACAGCUCGGGUGUCUUUUCCAGGAAGUUGGGUGCACACACUCCCCGCUUCUUCUUUCUCUCUGGUCUUUUGGAGUUCAUCUUAAAUCAGAUCUGGAAAACAGCAUCCUGCUGCAGAAGAGCCAGUGGUCCUAGAAACAGACUCCUACUAUAAAAAAUCUUACGGGAGCCAGAUGCCCCCGACCCUGACAGAGAUUGAUCGAGUGGCUGGUGGUAUCACCUUUCACUUUGCUUUGGCAAGGGGGGAAGCACGGAAUGAUGGAAAGUUUUCAGGUGGUACUUUCAGAAAGUAUUUAAGGGAUGUUGUUGUUGUGCUUUGUUUAAGUGCUGCAAACAGGAAAGAGCCAUUCUACAGCACACAGUGCAAGCGCAGAGACAGAAAGGGAAGAGGCCGGUGGGUAGCAAGGAGCAGUCACUCCUGAGGGGCAGCCCUUCCUGACUGCGGCACGCUGCACAUGUGUGCUUUGUCCGAGGCUGGAAAAGUUCAUCGCCAUGGAAAGGAAAUCUAUUAAACGUGCCUCCUGGAGUUGUAACACAAAAAUGAUGUCUCUCUGGCAUGAUGUGCCAGCCCAAAUGUUGCUGCUGGAAUCAAGCACUGGAGGAGCCUGACAAGACAUAACCCCACCAAAGCAGAGGCUUGGCGUGGGCCUCUUUGGUGAUUCCAAGUUUCAGUUCUGAUGGUUUGCUUGGCCACUUACUUCUAGUCACAUGAGCCCAAAGGUCUGAACAAAUUUAGGCAGAUUUCAAGCUGAAUACUUGUUGCAGUGGAAACUUUUGUUUAACCUUUCAGCAAAGUUUUAUCAAGUUUGGCAAGACUUCCCAGCUUUUCAAACUUCACACACCUUUUAACCAUUUGAAAAGUUGUCUACCUUCAUUUGAAAUGCACAAAGUUACUGCCAGUUGUUGUCAGAAAAAAAAAACCUGAUAUGGGUUUAUUUUUGUGCUGAAGAAAACAGGAUGACUUAUUAUAAACCUGUUUUAGUGUCUCUGAAUGGUAUCCCUGCUCAUACAUGCAUAUUUUUCCUCCCAGGCAAGACCAGCUGGAGGAUUCAUGGAAUGCUAGAUGCAUCAUAAAAUUCUGCAUUGUCAGGGCAUUUAUUCUGAAUAGUGUAUAGAUACAUGUGGGGUUGGUUCCCCUAUUGGGGCACCUCUGCUUUACUUUCCUUGUCAGGGAAUUCAAGCACAGUUAGAUGCAUUGCAAGUGAGCAGUGGUCAGGAAAUGAAAAAGUAACAUGGAGUACAACCUUAAAACAACGUCCUCUCCCUGUGCAGCAAUGAGUAAUGGACAUGGAUUCAGGUGUAUUUUGGUGGCAUCUCAACUUUUUGCCUUGUUUUGCAUCUCAUAUAAUUGAAAAGCAAUCUUUGGAUUUGUUCUAGGAGGAAAUAAAUUUCUGUCGUAUCUAAUUAUCA